AGAGUUUGAUCCUGGCUCAGGAUGAACGCUGGCGGCGUGCCUAAUACAUGCAAGUCGAGCGAACGGACGAGAAGCUUGCUUCUCUGAUGUUAGCGGCGGACGGGUGAGUAACACGUGGAUAACCUACCUAUAAGACUGGGAUAACUUCGGGAAACCGGAGCUAAUACCGGAUAAUAUUUUGAACCGCAUGGUUCAAAAGUGAAAGACGGUCUUGCUGUCACUUAUAGAUGGAUCCGCGCUGCAUUAGCUAGUUGGUAAGGUAACGGCUUACCAAGGCAACGAUGCAUAGCCGACCUGAGAGGGUGAUCGGCCACACUGGAACUGAGACACGGUCCAGACUCCUACGGGAGGCAGCAGUAGGGAAUCUUCCGCAAUGGGCGAAAGCCUGACGGAGCAACGCCGCGUGAGUGAUGAAGGUCUUCGGAUCGUAAAACUCUGUUAUUAGGGAAGAACAUAUGUGUAAGUAACUGUGCACAUCUUGACGGUACCUAAUCAGAAAGCCACGGCUAACUACGUGCCAGCAGCCGCGGUAAUACGUAGGUGGCAAGCGUUAUCCGGAAUUAUUGGGCGUAAAGCGCGCGUAGGCGGUUUUUUAAGUCUGAUGUGAAAGCCCACGGCUCAACCGUGGAGGGUCAUUGGAAACUGGAAAACUUGAGUGCAGAAGAGGAAAGUGGAAUUCCAUGUGUAGCGGUGAAAUGCGCAGAGAUAUGGAGGAACACCAGUGGCGAAGGCGACUUUCUGGUCUGUAACUGACGCUGAUGUGCGAAAGCGUGGGGAUCAAACAGGAUUAGAUACCCUGGUAGUCCACGCCGUAAACGAUGAGUGCUAAGUGUUAGGGGGUUUCCGCCCCUUAGUGCUGCAGCUAACGCAUUAAGCACUCCGCCUGGGGAGUACGACCGCAAGGUUGAAACUCAAAGGAAUUGACGGGGACCCGCACAAGCGGUGGAGCAUGUGGUUUAAUUCGAAGCAACGCGAAGAACCUUACCAAAUCUUGACAUCCUUUGACAACUCUAGAGAUAGAGCAUUCCCCUUCGGGGGACAAAGUGACAGGUGGUGCAUGGUUGUCGUCAGCUCGUGUCGUGAGAUGUUGGGUUAAGUCCCGCAACGAGCGCAACCCUUAAGCUUAGUUGCCAUCAUUAAGUUGGGCACUCUAAGUUGACUGCCGGUGACAAACCGGAGGAAGGUGGGGAUGACGUCAAAUCAUCAUGCCCCUUAUGAUUUGGGCUACACACGUGCUACAAUGGACAAUACAAAGGGCAGCGAAACCGCGAGGUCAAGCAAAUCCCAUAAAGUUGUUCUCAGUUCGGAUUGUAGUCUGCAACUCGACUACAUGAAGCUGGAAUCGCUAGUAAUCGUAGAUCAGCAUGCUACGGUGAAUACGUUCCCGGGUCUUGUACACACCGCCCGUCACACCACGAGAGUUUGUAACACCCGAAGCCGGUGGAGUAACCUUUUAGGAGCUAGCCGUCGAAGGUGGGACAAAUGAUUGGGGUGAAGUCGUAACAAGGUAGCCGUAUCGGAAGGUGCGGCUG
rnacentral:rRNA from 1 species